UAGCAUUAAAAUGACAAGGAGACAGGAAAGAAAUCUUUCGUACAUGUUUGCCCCUGCAUAUUAAAGCCACAAGAGGCAGUCAAGCAAGGCUUCCUCUGUAAUUUUAAACGACACACCACAUCAAAUAAAAACCCUAAUUUCGGUGGAAAAAACCCUGUUUUCUUCUGCCUCUCUAAAAUCUAAAACCCUAACAAGUCUCUCUCAAUCUUACGAGUUCACCAAUGGCAGAUUCAUCAGUUUCUAUUGACAAGCUAAAAGCUUUCUGGAACUCUCAAGUUCACGAUGAGGAGAAAUGGGCCCUCAACAUGAAACUGCUGCGAGCUGUUGGGCUGUUUGCUGGAUCUAUUUUUCUGAUGCGGAAUUAUGGUGAUCUUAUGGCAAUAUGAGGAUUGAUGAAGGGCUGCUAUACUGCAGUCUUAUUUCUGGCUACAUUAUUAGUACUGUGAGCUCAUGAGGUUGGAUGGGUCUCUUUGGAUACUGUGAAUGGCAGAUUUUCUUGCAAUACUUUCAGAUUUUCCGUAGUUUAGUGUUCUUGCUUUGGAAUAUGGACCUGUUUGAAAAUAAACAUAUAUGCUAGAUGACUUGUCUUUGUUUGCACAACUUGCCAAUCUCAUUGAUUCCUGGUAGUUUCUGUUGUUAAUUAACUUAAAUGACUUGUUUUGCCAGUACUUGUGUUCUUAAUGCAUACUAA